rnacentral:rRNA from 1 species
ACUCCUACGGGAGGCAGCAGUCAUGAAUAUUCCUCAAUGGCCGAAAGGCUGAAGGAGCGACAUCGCGUGCAGGAAGAAGCCCCUCGGGGUGUAAACUGCUUUUAUUUGGGAAGAACUAUGACGGUGCCAAAUGAAUAAGGGGUUGCUAAACUCGUGCCAGCAGCGCGGUAA